rnacentral:lncRNA from 1 species
GCAACUUAGCAUAUCAUCUCAAGAGAUUAACAUCUUAUCCACACUGCAUCAACACAAACUAUUCCUUCUCUGUCAGCUGACACAUAAGCCACACUCUUGCAUAGUCAGAUGUGUCUCUUACCGAUUGGGCUACAGCUUACUUAGCAGGGUGGUAUUUUACCCAAAUACUCAACAGCGUAGCGUCGCCGUCAUAGAUAGUGCCAUGGAUCAUUGUCAUAACAGUGAUGUCUGCCAAAUUAUUUCUGUCUCUUGCAAACCGAGCUAGCACAAGUAACUUGAAAUGAUUGAUGUGUUUCUUUUCUGAUGAAGCAGUUCGCAAACAUGAGCACAAAAUAGAUGGGCGAAAAGGAUGCAGUGCAGGAGGAGCUUGAGUGGCUUCAUCUCCAAGUGAUGCGCUUUGUACUUUGCCACAACUCCACUGAACUCCCUGCUGCAACUUGCUGGCCUGGGGGAUUAUUAUGACGAUGGUCAAGAUGUAUGUAUAAAGGAGCAUGGUUGGACAAGGCUGACGAUUGCAUGACAUGAGGAGGAGGAAUGCACCCAUGCCAGACAAAAUUUAUACAGGUGAAGGCACUCACGAGACCCACUCCGCUAUUGGGGACGCAGGACGCUUCCUAGCCCAUCUUGUGCUGGUAAUUUCAGAAC